CCGCUAUCUUAGGAUCCAAGUCCAAACAUUCCAAGAAUAAGGGCAGUUUAGGAAAGAUGAGCCGUUGUUUCUCCUUGUACCAUACAACGAGGACAGAUAUGUUGUGAAGGAUCUAGAAUACCAAUGGAAGACGACCAAUUUUUCGUGCAUAACCUAUCAUGACGAACCAACCAUACCAACAAUUCUACCUUUGGAGCUGUAAGCCUACACCAGAUGUUAACAGAAAAAUCUUGGGAUUGGAAAGAAGCGUUUAACAAGCAUUUGUAGAAAGAAUUGGCUGACAAAACUCCAUUCAGUGAUGGUUCCACAUUAGCCUAUCAUUCCUUGAGGACACAGCUUGAAAGAGCUCAAAAGAGAAAGAAGAUUAGCAAGCAGCUGCAGCUCCCAAUCAUAUUGGUUACGAGGCCAAUAAAAGACCCAUUCCCAAGAAUUAUUAUUCCAAGUGCCAAAAUCACAGAUGUGCCCCUUCUUUUUUUCCUCCAUGGCAAAAGGUAAGCCUCCAAGAGACAUGACAACCACGAAGCCAUAAAGAAACCCAGCACAUCUUCCUCUCCCAAAGAGAGCCCAGCACCUAUNUAAAGAGAUGAAGCCAUAUAGAAACCCAGCACAUUCUCCUCUCCCAAAGAGAGCCCAGCACCUAUUGCGUACCAUAAUGUAGAAUAACAUUCUCAUCCAAUAGUACCUAAGUCUCUGCACGUGUUUGUGGAUGAACAAUGAGUCAAUGUGCUUAAUUUCUUCCACCAGCUGGGAUAACUUGUGUUUGAUUCAUUGAUAUGUUCUUCAGUGCACGUGAUUCCUUGUAAUCUUUUCCUUGUUUUUGUUGCAUGUAGAAGCCUGGUAUUUCUCGACAAGCACUGAUUUGAUCUCUGAUGUAGUCAUGUUGACUCAAGAAUCUGAUGAUUCUGGAAGCCCCUUUGUAGCCAUCUUUGCUUCUCCAGAGUAAACAGCGGCCGAUCACAGACAUCGAAAUUGGGUUGGUGAACAGAGAAAACAACUAUCGUUCCAUCAUGAGCAAAAUUUCUUAGGACUUGAUCACAAACAAAGAUGAAGCACUAUCGCAAAUGUAAAUACUUCUUAUAUUUACAAUAUAAUUUAAAAGUAAAAGAAACAAGAGCUUAGAGAUACAAAUAGUAGAUUAACAAGUUUCUUAAGCAUUAUUUACAAUAUAAAACACAUGUAUUGGCAAUUUACAGCACAGAACAAGCACAACAUCAAAUACAAACAUUGUUACAUUCAGCAGUUGGCAUUUUCAGCGGAGUUGCCAUGAUAUCUAAUCUUCACUUGUUGAA
rnacentral:misc_RNA from 1 species